CUUGGCUUUGCGACUGGGGCCAAAGUGCUGGGAAGAAGCACUCUCUGUGCCAUGGUCUGCUACUGUGGAGAAGAAUGAGACCAGUGUGUGGAGAUGCCUUUCCUGUUGGGUAGCCUUGAGGUCGAUGCAAACUCUCCUCCAGCCUCUGCCGAAGCCGCAAAACCUCUUUCUGCAGAGCCCGGAUGGCCUGGCUGAAGUGGGAAAGGAGAAUAAAGAAUCAGUUUCCCUAGAGCUCAAGAAUAAUGUUGGAUUGAGAAGAACAGGGGGAAGAUCCCAUGUUUUCCCCUAUCUGAAGUCACAGAGACAGUCCCAGCUCUGCUGUGCAAGGCUGCCUGUCACCCAGAGGUCAGCUGAGCUUCAGAGACAACAGCACUGCUCAACAUGACUUAGCCACUCAAGAAUCACAAGAAGCCACCAACUGAAGCUACUUUGAGGAUGCAUUGCACAAGGGAGACAGUGGUGCAGAGUCCAUUUCCCUUCAGAGUGGCCUCUGGGUGAUGGCAGGAGGCUCUCUGAGAUGUAGGUUUUACACUCAGCCGUUCUGAAUGGUUGCAAAGAUUUCAGCCACAAGGGCUGACCAGCUUUCUCUGAAGCUCUGGAGUUUAUUUAGUGCUCUUCCUGCGCCUACAGGGAACCUGAUAUGUGAGUCUAUAAAUCCAGGCCUUAUUCCUCUUAGUAAAUGUGCAAGACAACCAAGAAUGUUUAAACUGCUGCGUUUGUCUGCUGGAUAGCCUACCAUCUGGGAGGGAAAACAUGCAUGCAUUAACCCUGACAAUGCUGGCAUUUUCCAGGCUGGCAGACAAAUGUAAUCUUGGACUAGCACGUGACUAUAUUCUCAGGUCUUCAGAGGAUUAAGUGCCUCCCUUUUUUGAGUAUCUCUCUCUUCAUUGUCAAAGGAGUGAGAAGGGGCCCCUUGGUCCUUAAGGAAUUGCAGCUGAACAUUGAGUCUCAAAAUGUCUUUAGGCAUUCAGCUCUCCCCUUCAGGGAAGUCUGGCCCCUUUAAGGUAUCUCAAACAGAGUGCACGAAAUCAUUGGCCCCUUUUAAUUGUUCUUGGCCUGGGCUGUUCCCUGUGAGUGGUGAUGGGGGAACCUCAAAACAGCCAAAGGUUGUGGCUGAAUGAACACUGAAAAGGCCGGGGGAUUCUCCAACCCUUCACCAAACAUGCCGGCCUCUUGGUUCUGCAAAGCUGGGCAUGACUUCUUUUAGAAACAAGACUGCUCCACAUGGCACUACGGAGAGCUACCCUUUCCCCUUUCUUUUCCAGUCCUGGCUGCAUCCCAGAAGUCUGCGGCACCGGAGAAUGGGAUGCAAACAACAAAAACUCAGGAAGGGCCAACUGCACUGGCUGUCAUUCAAGCCCACUCAAAUAUCUUGAGUGAAAGGUUUACUGAAAUCAGUGGCUACUUAGGGACAUUCUUAGGGAUCAUCAGCUGCACAUAACAACCCCAUGCAGAUUUCCCCUGCUGCUAAAACUACAAGGGCCUGCCAGCUGAGCUAAAGGAGAAUCACUGUCACCAUUACAGGAUCUAUGAUGCACAGCUGAGCAGCAUGAAUUCCCCCCAGGCAAAGACAGUGAGGUACAUACACUCUUCCGUUCAUUAUGGGACACAGACACCUGCUUCUGCCAGCUCAUUUUUGGGGCGUGAUUGUGUACUUGGCAAUACACAGCUCAUGCUGUUGCCUUUUAGCAAGAAAAAUAUAUGACCUGAGGAAA